UUUGAGUCAAUCCGAGUAAGUGCUCUUAUCGCAGAGCCAGACGCACGCUAACUCUCUCACACACUCGCACCAUCAGACACACGCAGAAUCCUAAUUCUGCAACUCUGACUCAACUCCCACAAUUAUAUCUGGCGUGCCUUUGAAUUUGACAGGUUCUGAGCAUCCAGUGCUCUGCAGACGUCACCGGCCGAAUGAGUUUGUCUCGUUUCGUCUGGAGUGGAGGAGUUAACAAAAUUUGGAUCUGCACAAGUGUGUGAGGUUACUGAAUGAACGAUGCAGACGCUAAAUUUUCAUGCGCUGAUGAAGGAUUUACAUUUGGAAUUUUCCCUCAGACUCCUUCUGAAAAUGUUCCUUGGCUCCUGGUUUUUGAUUCCGCCUCCGCGUCAGCGCCGUCCACAAACCCUCUCGGGAUCUCCAUCGUCCAAACUUCCCGCAGAGGGGCGGGGCCCUCUCGAUCAGUGCCCCGCAGAUUGACGAGCCCUCAGAUGCCGAUUUACUGUAUAU